UCCUAGUUUUCCUUUUCUGUGCACUGGACACACUGAACUCCAGGCCCUGAGGGAUGGGGUGCAAGGGUGAAGGAGUCCGGGUUUUGACAUCAGCUUGACUCCCAGUCAAGCACCCUGAUACACUUACACUUCAGCCAAGCCAGCAAAUUCCAUGGUGAUGUUUGAUAUCCAUUUUCCUACUGAGAACAUAGGAUAUGAAAUACAAUCAAAGCAUUACUAAAAUUAGGAGCCCUGCUUCCAUCUGCUACCCUGCCAACUCCUGUGUGGUUCAACCUUGUGAGGAGGGUGUCCACGAAGGCCCAAGCACCUGGCACACAGGCCACUGACACUGACUGCACCACUUUCCCUUCCUUCAUGACCACAGCGCAGCCCACCACCUGCUGGCUAUGUACCUAGACACAUCAUGAUGUCCAUCCCACCCUACUGCUCCGGCAAGCCCCUUUCUAUGCCUGAGUGUUGUUCAGUGUCCUCACCUGUGAAAUGUUGAAAUCAAUCAAAAACAGGGGCAUGGCAUCGCAGCAUCACGAAAAUUAAGUGAACUAAAGUGAUUUCUUCUGCUCAGCCCACCCAAGUUUUCAGAAUCUAGCACUCCAAAUGUACAGCAAAAUAUAACUAAAAAUGGAAGACUUUCUUCUUUUUACAUUUGUGCCUAAUAUUUACAAGCUUUCAAAACCUCAGGAGAGCGGGUACAUUAAAAACA